rnacentral:lncRNA from 1 species
AGCGCCGGACAAAGUUGCCGACCUGGCGGCGGCCACGCGUUUGCGUGCGUGUGUAUGAGUGUGUGUGAGCGCGGCCGGAGAUGCGUGCGCGUGUGCGGGUGCUCCAGGGCAAUGGUCGAAAGGACUGUACAAUAUAAGAGCGAAUCCAAGCUCCAGUUGCUGUUAAAGGGGGACGGUGUGCUCUGGGACAGUGUCCCUGGGGCCCCUGGCUCGCGUCACACCCACAUCGGGUUGGGAAAGUUUCCUCUUUCCGCCGUUUGGAAUUCAGUGAGAUUCCCAGCCCAGAGGACUUGAUAAAUUGAAGCAGUUUCCUAGGCACAAUGAUGCUGUGGGCCAACUGAGCACACAUGGGAAUUCCUGGCCUUGUGACACUUUGCAUUAAAAAGAACCCCACGAUUGAAGAUAGGAGCAGAAGCACUAGAUACAGUAUUUGGUCUGAGCAACUGCCCUAUCUUCCCGCUUUGGUGGGCCGUGCAACACCUGGAGUGUCGUUUCUCGUCUUUCCCCUAAUCCAGACGCAUUCCAGGCUGGGCUGCAGGGAUCCAGGUGACAGUCAGGACUUGCAUCAUUUCCAGGAGGGUGGCAGGGAGGCCCAAGGCAGCCCUGAGUCAGCCCGCCGCGGAGCAUCGCGUGCCCGGAGGCCAGAGCUUGAAAGGCAACUUUACGCGUCUCCAAACACACUCCUGCAUUUUCUCAAAGCGCUGCUCGCCACCCCGCUCCGGGUUCCCUUUUACUCUCCAGUCAUCCGAUGGAAGUGGUGAGAACAAAAACAAAGACAAAAAAGCUAAAUCCGGGGAAGUUAUCUCCAUCUCCUCCCUUUUCUUGUUCGGCCCCCUCCCCAAGAACCGCCGGGUCGGGAUAGCCCCCGGCUACUUUCUCACCCGGCCCGUGGAGGGAAGGAGAAAGUUGGGCGCCGCUUGGAGCGCCUCUUCCCCUGCUGUGUGUGUACGUGUGCACGCUCACGUCUCCCCCGCGCCGGGGCCGGGGACAGGAACUGCUCUCGGUCCCGUCACCCCACGGCGCAGCUCGGGGGGCUCGCAGGGCUGGGGGAGGGCGGGGACACGAGCGCCGCGCCCAAGCGCCCCAGGGCACGCACCCGGCGUUGGCGCGCACUCGCCCCUCCCCCCGUCCCCACCCUCCUCCUGGAGAACAGGUGAGCCCCGGUACCAGCUCUCGAUCCCCCACCCCCGCCCCGCGCCCCGCCCGCGCCCUCUGCGGUAAUGCGCCUGGGAAGUUUCAUCACCCACUGCCCAGGCGACGCGGCCCUGGGUCUCCGCGGCGGGGCGCACUGCCCGCCUGGUUGGGGCCGCCAUGUGACACGGCUGGGGGAGGGGGCGAGGAGACACGCGGGCAGGUCAUCUUUUGGCCGGCGCUUGACUUCCAAAGCUUUCCUUUCCCGUGUCCCGGCUGCACGCGGGAGUGGGGAAGGCGGAGGCGGGGGGCCAGGAUGGCCACGGCUGGCCGCAGCUAUCCGGCGUGUCGAGCUCUCCUGAGUCGGAAGGAAGGAGAGGAGGGGGUGGGGAGGGCGUCUUCAGAGUGGGCUUCCCCUGCGCUGGAGCGCCAGGGAGCAUCCAUAAAUUGUCACUUUGAAGGUCCGAACCUGCGGCGGUAGGGACCAUGCCCACUAUUCUAAUAGCAAUUACUCCGCGCAGCCUUGGAUCUUUUGUGCAAGGACGUGCGGGUACAAAUACAUUAAAACGGCCAGUUCACAUUGCCCACCCUGCUUGUGUUUGCAUAGUUAACUUAGCUUCCUAGUUUAUGGAAAACUACCUCCUGUAGAUCCUUAAAAACAAAGCAAACAAACGACACAGCGGCAUUCUGGCCUCUCCUAACUAACUCUUUAAGGCUCUGAAUUUCCUGAGAACAAGUAGCCAUUUGGUCCCACUCCUGCUUAUGGGUACAGCUGGGUAGACUUUCUUUCUAUGUGGCCUCUUUUGUAGGAGAGAACAUGAGCAAUAUUGACAUUAAGAAGGCAUCUGGUCACCUGUUUUUUUUUGAGAAGCAGAAAUAGGAGAGAGCUCCAUGGGGCAGGAGCAAGCCCUCUUUUGCCAGAUGCAGACACUUAGUGUGCUGGGCAGAGGCCUCCCAGGAUACCUGGAGCGAUGGCCAGGGGGAUGGAGCUCUCCCUGCUCCUGCUUUGCCCAGCCUUUGGCUAGGCCUACCUUUUGCUACCAUGGGGCCCCUGGGGCUGCCCUCAGAGGACCUACAUAGUUUCAAAGUUCGUCCUGAGGCUGUUUGCUCCUGCCUUCCAAGGGACAUUCCUGGUUUUCACCUGAGCCAACUGCCCCUUUAGAACCAAAAGAACACAUAGUAGCUAGAAUUGGAGGUGGCGUAAGCACAGGCACUAGUUCUUAAGGGUUUAUCUCUGGGCCACUUAGCCAAGUCCAAAGCAUCCAGAUAAGAAUGCCCAUCUGAGUCCGACCCGCCAAGGCUGUGAAAAUUCCCUUGCAGAAUCACUAGGCAGUUUGCUGAAAUGGCCAGUCUAGGCCGCAGGGGUAGAAGUGGGAUGGGGGCUCAGACUGGUGACUUUGUUGUGAUUGACUCCCCCUCUCUCUGGCUGAUUCCUUUAGCUUUAUAACUGAGGCCAAGUUUGGCAGACUGUGGCUGAUGAGGGUGGGGCAGGGGACAGUAAUAAUAAUCAUUAUUACUAUUAUAUAGCUAACAUGACACCGCACCACACACCACACUCAUGCCUUUGGUGUCCCUCCAGACCUAGGGCCCUCCCUAGAUGGGAACUGAGGCCUGGGAGGUCUCCUGGAUGGACCAGCUGCUGUCCUGAGGUUCAGCAGCACCUGUCUGGAUGGGCCCUCCUCCUCAAUUUAACGCAUACACAGCCAGGAAGAGGCAGACAUGACCUACCUUGUGUCAUCCAGGGCCUUCUGUGGUUGACGCCUGGAGCCCAUGUUUUCCUGUCUAAAUCCACUUUGCUAGUUACAUGCGGUCAACACUGAGUGGCAGGUUUUGGGGGAGGGGAUAUUUGGGUUAGACCAUGAAGGAUGGGGGAGGAUAGUGACAAGUAGAGGCAAGGAAAAAAGUGGGCAUGGGAGGUGGGAGGACCAGCAGGGCUAAAUGCAUGGAGAGGAUCCGGUGGGAUUUGUAUCAGGAAUAGGGGUUGCCCAGUUAGGUGUGAAAGUGGGACAUCAAACUGGGGAAGUCGGCCAGGGCAUGUUGUGAAGGCUGGGCUCCUUGUGACAAAUCUGUGCUCCUCACGGAAGAUCUGACGGUAUUUAAGGAUGAGACUGUAGGGCGCUUUAGACUAGGUUCUCUUUAGGAAUUAGGAAAUGCUCAGGGGCCCAGAGCUGCCAUUGUGGAGAAAGAGCAGAGGAGUGGGAAGGAAUUAGUUGGAAUCUUCACGUGCGUCUCGAUGCCCAGCAAGACAGACGUGUUCUUGCUCGAGUGUGAGCCGAAGGGGCUUUAGCGGAUGGGCAUAGUUCGUGGGUGCUGAGUCAGUGAUGUGCAAGUUGACACGUGCUGCCUGGUCCAGGCUUUCUGAGUUCCGGAACCUGAGUGGAGAACAUGGCUUACACGUGGGGAGCUCCACCCACUGCACGCCCCGCCCCCUUGGGGCCGACUGUCUGGGCUGAUGGCACCACCUUAUGGUCAGAGAGGGAACUGUCUGGCUACACAGUCCUCACGACUCUGCCUGCCUGGAAAGUUCUGAUAUUGGGUCUCCAGCCUUCUCCCCAGUUUCCUUUCCUUUUCUUAGCAAAUCAAUUAAUGCAGAUUUAGCCAAUCUCCUCGCAAUAACAUGCCUUAAUCCCCCCAUCAAAGAGAUCUCUUUCACACUUAUUUUCCCUCUUGCUCCCCUAUCCGUUGCUGUUUUCCUUUGUGAGUCUCAAAUUUACCCUAAUCCUGGCUCCUGUGCAUCAUACCUGUAUGAAGGAAAAUGAAAAAAGGUAUCAAGGUGAAACCGGACAGAAAAAAAUAACAAACUGCUGCUAUCAGGCCUCCCAAAUUAUCUUGCAAGCAGAGGUCUCUCCCUAAAAAGCCUCCAUCUCCCAGCACUUUGGGAGGCUGAGGUAGGUAGAUCGCUUGAGCCCGGGAAUUCGAGACCAACCUGGGCAACAUGGCAAGACCCCGUCUCUACAGAAAAUACAAACAUUAGCCAGACGUGGUGGUAUGUGCUUGUAAUCGCAGCUACUCGGGAGACUGAGGUUCUGGGAGAAUGGCUUGAGUCCAGGAGGUUGAGGCUGCAGUGAGCUAUGAUUGCACCACUGUACUCCAGCCUGGGUGACAGAGCAAGACCCUGUCUCAAAAAAAAAAAAGCCUCUAUCUUUGCUCUUAUCUUUUUUUCAUUAAACUGGUUAUUUCAUUAAAUAUAAUUCAGGAUAAAGGAGAUUAUAUCUUCAAUAUUUGGGUUUGUUUAUUCUUAAUACUAUAACCAAAUUAUAUUCUACUAAUUUAUACCAUAAAAGUGCAGUGCCCAACAACACAAUGAGUUAAGAAGGAUUUUGUGGUGCUGGCCUGUAAACCUAUCAUGUAUAAUAUUGUUUCUUGGAAGAAAAUAUAUUCUGAGUUCCCCAAACAACCAACUUUGGAAGUGUGGGAACACAACGCUUUUGUGAAUUGGGCAUUUCCUCUCUGUCACAGAUCAAUAGUCAAACCAUUCAUGGAUUGACUGGAAAUACAAAAGAAAAAAAAGCAUUAAAAAAACCCCCAAGAGAGUAGGAACACAAUAAACCCAUUUACUGGAAGGAAUAUAAAGUAGUAAACACUGGGCAUCUGACUGUAGUCUGAGUUUUGUUAACGCCUUUCUCUGAAGCCUGAAUGGUAUUCCAGAAGGCCUCUCUGUUUUACAUGGGUCAUAAUUUUUUCUUCCUUGUUGUAUCUUGAGACAAACUCCAGGAGAACGUAUCCCAGGCAAGGGGCUGCCUGGCUUCCAUGGAGAGUACUGGUUGGGCCCAGAGGCAGGCAUUGUGGUGCUGGAAUAGUAUGAUAGAGCUCUCUCUGGGUGGGUUUUAACUUUGGUUGGAGAAUGGUUGGAUGUCAAGUGGCUGAAGGAAGAAUCUUUUUGUGGGGCAGUUUUCUAGGGAGCCACAUUUUGAAAGCUCCAGGAAACGACCAAAUCUAUUAAUGUGAUUUAACUUUCAGUAUGUUAUCAGGGUCCAUCGGACCCAAUUUUAGAUUUUGAAGGUGUUUUUUUUUUUCCUGAGAAAUUCUAACAAUUUGUAAGGAUUGGUAUUUCAUGACUUUUGUUUGUUUUCAGAAGUCUUCUGAAGAUGAAAGAUAACAUCUAGUUUUUAACAAAAAUAGAAUAAAACUCAUUCUAUCUUGAAGUUACCAUAUGACUAUUGAAAUAAUUUAUAAAUUGAUGAUGUAUCAUAGGAUCUUAGAGAUCUUAAUUUUCUUAUAUCUUUAAACAUCUUCCAUUUUAUCACCCUAGAAAUUAUUUCAUCAUUACUCAUCAAUUAUUGCCAAUUAUGGUAAAAAAAAAAAAAACACCAAUAAGAAAUGGGAGAAUCAUGGAAUCACCUAGAAGGAUGAUGCAAGAAUGAAACAAAUUAUCACUGUUGUAUCAUCCUUCAGGUUUUUGAUCACAUUGCCUGAAGUAUUACAUCAUUUCUCGAGAAAGUAUAAAAGAAGACAGAGGAUACCAUUUUUGUAGUCUUCUUCUUCUUACUUUUAUCAAAUAUAGUUGUAAAUUCAGCUAUAUUUUUCAUUUUUCUGCACAAACUGUAAAGAGAAGAAAAGUGACAGAGGAAAAUGUUGUACAGUUAUUAGUCAAAUCAGAAGAUGAAUGCAGAGAGACAGCACUAUGGAAGACUCGAUAAUGGCGAAACUGACUGAAGUGUAUAAGCAAAGUCUCAGACUAUGAGUCCUACAUGAUAAUAACCUAGAUUAAUUUCCUCAGAUUUAAGGAUUCAUGAGUAAACAAUAUAUUUCUAAGGAUAACAAAAAAUAUGAUAUUCUCAUCCUGUUAGUCAUUCAACAGGAAUGAUUUCAUCACACUAUAUUUUGCCGCAAAAACUUGGAGCAUCCUGUUUUGCUAAAAGAAUGGGGGCCAAUUUUUUUUUUUUUUACUUUUUAUGUUUGUUUAUUGAAAUUUUCUUGAUACAGUUUGAAGGGGACAAAUGAUGAAGUCAGAUCAAAGGUGAGUACAAAGAUGAUUGAAAAGAAAUAGGUGGUAUGGAAAGGAAAGAAAAAAAUCACUGG